AUGGAAGAAGAAAUUGCCUCGCUCGUCAUUGACAAUAGUUCUAGUAUGUGCAAAGCUGGCUUUGCAGGGGACAACGCUCCCCAAGCCAAGUUCCCCUCCAUCGUGGUGUCUCCGACACCAGGACGUUAUGGUGGGCAUAGGUCAGAAGGAUUCCUACGUGGGCGAUGAGGCCCACAGCAAGUGAGGCAUCCUGACUCUGAAGUAUCCCAUCGAGCAUGGCAUCAUCACCAACUGGGAUGAUAUGGAGAAGAUCUGGCACCACACGUUCUACAAUGAACUGCAUGUGGCCCCCGAGGAGCACCCGGUGCUGUUGACCAAGGCCCCCCUGAACCUUAAGGCCAAUAGAGAGAAGAUGACCCAGAUCAUGUCAGAAACCUUCAACACCCCAGUCAUGUAUGCGGCCAUCCAGGUCGUGCUCUCCGUGUACGUAUCUGGUCGUACCGCUGUUAUUGUCAUGGACUCUGGAGAUGGGGUCACCCACACAGUGCCCAUCUACAAGGGUUAUGCCCUCCCUCAUGCUAUCCUGCAUCUGGACCUGGCUGGCUGGGACCCGACUGACCACCUCAUGAAGAUCCUCAUAGAGUGCAGCUACGGCUUCACCACCACAAUUGAGCAGGAGAUUGUGUGUACAACUGAGCGGGAGAUUGUGUGUGACAUCAAAGAGAAAUGUGCUACGUUGCCCUGGACUUCCAGCAGGAGAUGGCCAUCGCCUCAUCUUCCUCCUCCCUGGAGGAGAGCUGCCUGAUGGCCAGGUGAUCACCACUGACAAUGAGAGGUUCUGGUAUCCAGAGGCACUGUUCCAGCCCUCUCCUUCCUGGGCAUGGAAUCCUGCGGCAUCCACGAGACCACCUUCAACUCCAUCAUGAAGUGUGACGUAGAUAUUUGCAAGGACCUGUACGCUAACACAGUGCUGUCUGGUGGCACCACCAUGUACCUGGGCAUUGCUGAAGGAUGCAGAAGGAGAUCACUGCCCUGGUGCCCAGCACCGUGAAGAUCAAGAUCAUUGUUCCCCCUGAGGGCAAGUACUCAGCGUGGAUCGGUGGUUCCCUCCUGGUCUCCCUGUCUACUUUCCAGCAGAUGUGGAUCGGCAAGCAGGAGUACAAAGAGUCGGGCCCCUCCAUCGUCCACUGCAAAUGCUUCUAAACAGACUGCGAGCAGAUGUGUAGCAUUUGCUGCAUGAGUUAGUUCAUAAGUAUAAAUUUGCCCUGGCAAAUGUAUACACCUCAUGCUAGCCUCACGAAACUGGAAUAAGCCUUUGAAAAGAAAUUUGUCCUUGAAGUUUGUAUGAUAUCAGCACUGGAUCGUAGAACUUGUUGCUGUUUUUGACCGUGUAUUCAAGUUAACUGUUCCCUUGGUAUUUGUUUAAUAUCCUGUACAUAUCUUUGGUUUAAACCCU